AAACUCAGAGAUCUACCUGCCUCAGCCUCUGAGUGCUGGGAUUAGAGGCAUGCACCACCACGCCUGGCCCAAGGAACGUUUUUAUAUUCUAUUUUCAGGAGUACAUUUGUGCCUUCUAUUGUAGAAAUCUGCACCUGCGUGUUACUAAUAGGUUUGUAUGUAGGCACUGCUAAUUAUUCUGAGUUAUUCCCUGUCCCAAGCCUAAAUUCUCCUAGAGGGGUUCAGAGUUGAUACAUAACACCCACUAGACUGAGCAUUUCAGGAUAUGCCUGAGCCCAGGUGUCCAGAGAAUGAGGGAAAAGGGCAAGGGAUGAUAAUGAGAGACACAGACAUUGCAAGGCUCAGAAAUGUGGCUGACCAGAGGGGAAAACUGGGUUUGAGAAUAAGUGAUUGUCUUUGUGACCCCUCCCUCAUCAACUCCUCACAAUCUGCUGGCUGGAGAGGAGAUGUAGGUAGUCUAUUUUAAGAUGUUAAUCUGUCUUCUCAGAUCCCUACCUCUGGGAAUAAAGUGCAACUUAAGAAUUUUAUUCCUAUCUGCUCAUUGGCCUUCAUGUGACAGGCAUCUAAAACUCUGAUUCUGAUUAUAAAACUACAAAGCCAAACAUUUUAGCUGGGUUUUUGUUUUUGUUUUGGUCUUUUUGAGACGGUCUCCCUGUAGCCCCAGCUGUCCUGGAACUCACUAUGUAGACCAGGCUGGCCUUGCCUUGAACUCACAGAGAUCCACCUGCCUCUGCCUCCCGAAUGCUGGGACUACAGGCGUGUGCCACCACGCCUGAAGUGACAGCUGUUUUUGACCAUUUCCAAACUUAACUUUGCUCUGUUCUUAUCCUCUACAUAGCAAUGUCAGAAUAUCCACUCAUGCAAUUGUUUCUGCCUUCUGACAGCCUCCAACCCAGAGCAAAUCUUUAACCAGUCCUCAAGAUCCCUAACAAGCCCAAUUCUGUAAUGUUUUUACAGUACUCUUACUGAAGUUUCUCUUGAUAUGCUUCCUGGCUGGCACCUUGCAACAUGGCAUUAAACCCAACUAUAUUUGAGCAGUGUAUGUAAAAAUUGACAGCCUGGGGCCACCAAGAUGACUCAGCAGGUGACAACCUGAGUUUGAGUCCCAAAACCCAUGUAAAGGUGUGAUCUCCCAACUUCAUCCUCCAGCCUCCUGCUCUCAUGCCCUCCCCACCAUUAUGGACUCUGGAAACUUAAGCAGAAAUAAAUUCUUCCAUGAGUUGCCUUUGGUCAUGAUGUUUUGUCACAACAAAAGGUAACAUAC